rnacentral:rRNA from 1 species
AGUGAACGCUGGCGGUAGGCCUAACACAUGCAAGUCGAACGGCAGCACAGUAAGAGCUUGCUCUUACGGGUGGCGAGUGGCGGACGGGUGAGGAAUACAUCGGAAUCUACUUUUUCGUGGGGGAUAACGUAGGGAAACUUACGCUAAUACCGCAUACGACCUACGGGUGAAAGCAGGGGAUCUUCGGACCUUGCGCGAUUGAAUGAGCCGAUGUCGGAUUAGCUAGUUGGCAGGGUAAAGGCCCACCAAGGCGACGAUCCGUAGCUGGUCUGAGAGGAUCAUCAGCCACACUGGAACUGAGACACGGUCCAGACUCCUACGGGAGGCAGCAGUGGGGAAUAUUGGACAAUGGGCGCAAGCCUGAUCCAGCCAUACCGCGUGGGUGAAGAAGGCCUUCGGGUUGUAAAGCCCUUUUGUUGGGAAAGAAAAGCAGCAGGUUAAUACCCCGCUGUUCUGACGGUACCCAAAGAAUAAGCACCGGCUAACUUCGUG